UCACUUGUUCUUUAAAUGAGGACUAGUAUGAACGGCACCACGAGGGUUAUACUGUCUCCUCUCCCUAAUCAGUGAAACUAAUCCCCCCGUGAAGAAGCGGGGAUAAAACUAUAAGACGAGAAGACCCUAUGGAGCUUUAAACUUAUCCUCAAACGCCAAAAUUACACACCAAGUUUUAAACUUCACCACAUGAACUUUCGCGCCGUGAGGACAAUUUUUAGGUUGGGGUGACCAUGGAGUACAAAAUAACCUCCAUGCUGAAUAGGCCUCCAAGCCUUGAGCCAAGGGCUACGACCCAUCGCACUAAAAUAUUAACAUCCAUUGAUCCAAUGUACUUUGAUCAACGAACCAAGUUACCCUAGGGAUAACAGCGCAAUCUACUUCAAGAGUUCCUAUCGACAAGUAGGUUUACGACCUCGAUGUUGGAUCAGGGUGUCCCAGUGGUGCAGCCGCUACUAAUGGUUCGUUUGUUCAACGAUUAAAACCCUA
rnacentral:rRNA from 1 species